rnacentral:rRNA from 1 species
GAAUAUGGGGGGACCAUCCUCCAAGGCAAAAUACCCCUGACGGCCCGAUAGUGAACCAGUACCGUGAGGGAAAGGCGAAAAGACCCCCGGGGAGGGGAGUGAAAAAGAACCUGAAACCGUGUACGUACAGGCAGUGGGAGCACGGGUUUACCUGUGUGACUGCGUACCUUUUGUAUAAUGGGUCAGCGACUUAUAUUCUGUAGCAAGGUUAACCG